GGGUGCGAUCAUACCAGCGUUAAUGCACCGGAUCCCAUCAAAACUCUGCAGUUAAGCGCGUGACCUCCUGGGAAGUCUUGGUGUUGCACCCU
rnacentral:rRNA from 1 species